UUACUUUUCUUACAUCUUCCCCAUUUCAACUCGCCCGAGCUCACUCAAAAUGAUUCCCCUCUCCACGUCACUCUUAUUUCCCAACGGAUUUGUCAGAGAGGAGUACGAUUAUUCCUUCUAAUCGCGAAAUUUUGGUACAAAAGGACAAUUGUUAGACAAAUGGGAUCCGUGGAUAGCAACGCCCUCCAUUUGUACCGAAAUUGUUCAAAAAACUUGAAGAUUUUCAGAUUUUGGGUCGAUAUUUUGAAU
rnacentral:lncRNA from 1 species